CCUACGGGAGGCAGCAGUGAGGAAUAUUGGUCAAUGGACGAGAGUCUGAACCAGCCAAGUAGCGUGAAGGAUGACUGCCCUAUGGGUUGUAAACUUCUUUUAUAUGGGAAUAAAAUGUUCCACGUGUGGGAUUUUGUAUGUACCAUAUGAAUAAGGAUCGGCUAACUCCGUGCCAGCAGCCGCGGUAAUACGGAGGAACCGAGCGUUAUCCGGAUUUAUUGGGUUUAAAGGGAGCGUAGGUGGAUUGUUAAGUCAGUUGUGAAAGUUUGCGGCUCAACCGUAAAAUUGCAGUUGAAACUGGCAGUCGUGAGUACAGUAGAGGUGGGCGGAAGUAGUGGUGUAGCGGUGAAAUGCUUAGAUAUCACGAAGAACUCCGAUUGCGAAGGCAGCUCACUGGACUGCAACUGACACUGAGGCUCGAAAGUGUGGGUAUCAAACAGGAUUAGAUACCCUGGUAGUC
rnacentral:rRNA from 1 species